rnacentral:lncRNA from 1 species
CCGGAUCCUUGGCCACUGCUCUUCUACUCGCCACAAUACAAUCAAGCAUAGUAUAAAAGGAGAAAUUAACAUCACACCAAACAUGUAUACAAAAUACAUAUUAAUAAUCUACACAUUAAAAUAAGAUCAUAGGAAAAACAAUCACUAAAUUCGGAGUUACAGAUAUUUAGUUAUGAAUUUCCGAAGGUUUUAUGUAUUUGAUACAAUAUUAAUUAAGAGAUCAAUUUUAAUACAGUUUUCAUGUCAAAAUAGAGAUGCUAUGUGAUGAACAAUAUUAUUAGAAAAUUACGGGAACUGGAAUGGACUAAAAAGAAAUUAAAAUGAAUUUUAUAUGCAUUUUACAAGUUUCUAGAAUUAUUUUGUAUUAAAAAUCAAUUUCUAUAAUUAAUUCUAUAAUUUCUCUGGUUUCUGGACUGGCGCAUAAAUACAGAUAAGUACAGGGGUUAAUGCGCGAAAAGUCCUAAGACUUAGUGUGCCUGACUCUGGACCGCGGGUUGAUUCCCUAAAAACUAAGGGGCCAAUUUGUUAGCUCGACCGACUAAAAGGGUAUCUACGGAUCUGGGCUACCAGAUCUAAAACCUGUGGCCAGGAUUAGAUCGGGUAUACAAUGAAACGGUAGCGGCGCCCACCGUUCGAUUAUUGGUCAACGACCUAGGUUUAACACUCCUAGCAUGGCCCCAGAGACGCCCGAUCGAGCUCCGAGGGCGCGAAUGCAACAGCCCAAAGGGGUACGCCAUACUCUAAUCCUACUCGUACGUGUGCAAUCCGACGGCUACGGUAGCGUCUUCUUCCUUAGCGCCAGACGACGGUCACGACCGUGCGGCAAUAGCGGCGACAUUACCGGUGUAAGCCGAUUCUGGCCCAUGGUGCCCUACCGAGCUUCUAAUCCGACUCCAGACGAAGCGAAAGAUCAUACUAACAUAUGAAUGGGACCUUACCAUAAUAGAAGUGGUGAGGUGCUCGUCGAUCCGCCGAAACGAGUCCGCGGCGACGCUGAAUUCCGAUGAGAAAUUCUCGGUCAAAUCCGGCUUCCCGGUUCCCAUGGCUUCCUCGACUCGUUACCCACUUCUCCCGCGCACACUCCCCUGUUCGCCAAUCGUCCCUGUGAAUGAUGAAUCGCGCAGCGGCACAACCCUCCCCUGCUCUAGUUCCUGGCGUUAGGCAAAACCGUCCUCGGACGAUGGGGCGCAUGAGCUUAUAUCAUCCCUGAGUCCGCGAGAUGACCGACAGCCCAUGAACGGCAUACCAC